ensembl:lncRNA novel transcript
AUUUAUUUAUUAUAGAGACAGGAUCUCCGUAUGUUGUCCAGGCUGGUCUUUAACUCCUGACCUCAAGUGAUCCUCCCCAAUCAGCCUCCCAAAGUGCUGGGAUAACAGGUUCAUCCCUCUCUGUGCCUUGGUUUUCAUAUUUGGAAAAUGACGAGGAGGAUUUAACUAGAUUAUCUCUAAGGUUGAAUGGGGAAAGAACAUUCCUGGAAUCACCAGGCAAGAAGAGGAUUGGAGGAAUGCCUUUGUCCCCCUUCAAUCCCGGGGGUCCCCUGGCACCUGGACUUCCCUGGGGACCCAUGGCUCCAGCAGACCCUGGGGUAAAAGAAGAACUGGAGAUGGGGUCUCACUCUGUUGCCCACGCUGGUCUCAAACUCCUGGUCUCAAGCAAUUCUCCUGCCUCAGCCUACCGAAGUUCUGAGAUUACAAGUGUAAGCCAUCAUACCCAGCACCAAUCUGUAUCUUUUAAGUGGAACAUUUACUCCAUUUAUUAUCAAGGUUAAUAUUGAUAUGUGAUGUUUUGUUCCUGUCAUGAUAAUUGUUACCCAGUUGCUUUUUAGUCUCAAUUAUGUAAUUGCUUUAUAUAAUCUGUGAGUUUUUCACUUUAAUGUGCUUUUAUGAUGAGGAGUAUUGUCCAUUCAUUUC